rnacentral:rRNA from 1 species
AGAUGUUGGGUUAAGUCCCGCAACGAGCGCAACCCUCGUUCUAUGUUGCCAGCACGUGAUGGUGGGGACUCAUAGGAGACUGCCGGGGUCAACUCGGAGGAAGGUGGGGAUGACGUCAAAUCAUCAUGCCCUUUAUGACUUGGGCUACACACGUGCUACAAUGGCAGGUACAGUGGGCAGCAAUCCCGCGAGGGUGAGCUAAUCUCCAAAACCUGUCUCAGUUCGGAUUGUUCUCUGCAACUCGAGAGCAUGAAGGCGGAAUCGCUAGUAAUCGCGGAUCAGCAUGUCGCGGUGAAUACGUUCCCGGGUCUUGUACACACCGCCCGUCACACCAUGGGAGUUGGUUUUACCUGAAGCCGGU